rnacentral:rRNA from 1 species
CGGGGUGAGUAAUGUCUGGGAAACUGCCUGAUGGAGGGGGAUAACUACUGGAAACGGUAGCUAAUACCGCAUAACGUCGCAAGACCAAAGAGGGGGACCUUCGGGCCUCUUGCCAUCGGAUGUGCCCAGAUGGGAUUAGCUAGUAGGUGGGGUAACGGCUCAUCUAGGCGACGAUCCCUAGCUGGUCUGAGAGGAUGACCAGCCACACUGGAACUGAGACACGGUCCAG